CCCCCCGGCCCGCGGCUCCCCUAAGUGGGCGCGUGCGGGGCCUGGAAGGGGGCGGAGCCUGGGGCCGGGCGCGCGCCGGGGCGUCCCUCCCCGCCUCCGCCCCUGCCUCCGCCCCCGCCUGGCGCGCGGGCGGCGUGGACCUCCUGGUCAAUGGGAACGCGGGACUGGGCCGCCGGCGACGCGGUCAGGUGGGCCCCCCAGCUCGCGCCCCGCGCCGCCUAGUUAGCUCUCCCGCUUCCGCUCCAUCUUGGCUCCGGUAGCUUGGCUUCUUGGUUUUUCUCCAGCUGCCGGGGCCGUAGCAGCCGGGACCAAGUGACCUCAGCGAACGCGAGGAGACAGUGGGUCUGAGCAAACCCGCGUUCCCGAGAAUUCGCCUGGGGCGUGGGGGCAGAUGCGAAUUGUCGGCUUCUGCGACCCACGAACAUUAACUGAGCACCUAGUAUGUGAGACAGGAAGCUGUGAGGAGAGGAACACAUCAGGAUGAGACAAAGCCAGGGCCUGUUCUCAAGGAGCCUCUUCCUACCCGUGCCGUCCUGGACCCUGCUCCGAGAUUCCCGGCCAUAGGUUGCUAGGAUGAUUAUGCAGAUCUAUCUGAUAAAGGGAAAAAAUUCAGCAACUUCACCCAGCUUCUGCUAUCUACACGGCUGCAUUUGAAAGACCAAAGAGGACCAUAGCUUCUCCUCCUGUGUCGUUGCUCCUGCUGUGCUCUCCACCUGUUUCGCCUGCCUCCAUAUCUCCACAAGUCAAAAAUCCUCCUGACCCUGAAGCCAAGGAUUGUAAACACAAAUUUAUCAGCAGGUUCAUGGAAAGAUUGCAUUUCUUCAUCUCAUUGUGGUCAUAUGACUUGAUGUAGUGAAUGAAGCAAUACGCACUCCUUCCAGGUGGAAGACUUAAGGGUCCAUCAGGAUUCAUCACAUCCCUUUUCCACUGGCAGGGGGACUGCAGAAGCAGCUCAUAGCAGAGAGCCCUCCCAACUUGGGUCCCAGGGACUAUGAAGAGUUGAGCCCCACUGCCAUCGAGAAUGAGGGAAAUAGACUUUUGUGCUCUUCAUGAGAUUUUGGGGAUUGCUUGUUACUAUCGUACACCCAAGGGAAGCCUGACCGGAACAAUACAGUGGGAAGUACUUUCAUGGGCACAACCUCAUUUCUUUGUGGGAGGGACAUGGGCAUUUCUCAUCCUCAGAUGAAAGUCUGAGGCUCAGAGAGGUUGGGUAUCUUCAGGGAAGGUCAGAAGGUAAAUGACGGCCGCGGGAGUUGAGCCCAGACCCUUUGGCUCUCAGGCUUUCUUCUGUCCAUGGUGGGAUGUUGGUUGAUGCAUUUCAUUUGUGUGGCAUCUGUAUUCCCCAUUUUCUCUAUCUGUGUCCUCCAACUCAUGAGCCCUGCAGAAGCCCCAACUUCCACCUGGGGCAAAUGCCUCCUUAUCUUAUGGCCCUGGUUUCUGUAGGGUUCCAUUCUUGUCAGGCUCAGAUGAAAAAUCCUAGGGAGGGCCCCAAAAGAAAAGAAUACUCGUUAGAGUCCAGAUAGAUUGUAAUGUGCGCAUUUAGAAUAUAGAAAAAAUUUAGAUAUUCACAAGGACUAUUCUCCUACUUAUUUAUUUUUUAAAAAAGAUUUUAUUUAUUUAUUUGACAGAGACACAGUGGAGAGAGGGAACACAAGCAGGGGGAGUGGGAGAGA